rnacentral:rRNA from 1 species
AGUGAACGCUGGCGGUAGGCCUAACACAUGCAAGUCGAACGGCAGCACAGUAAGAGCUUGCUCUUACGGGUGGCGAGUGGCGGACGGGUGAGGAAUACAUCGGAAUCUACUUUUUCGUGGGGGAUAACGUAGGGAAACUUACGCUAAUACCGCAUACGACCUACGGGUGAAAGCAGGGGAUCUUCGGACCCUGCGCGAUUGAAUGAGCCGAUGUCGGAUUAGCUAGUUGGCGGGGGAAAGGCCCACCAAGGCGACGAUCCGUAGCUGGUCUGAGAGGAUGAUCGGCCACACUGGAACUGAGACACGGUCCAGACUCCUACGGGAGGCAGCAGUGGGGAAUAUUGGACAAUGGGCGCAAGCCUGGUCCAGCCAUACCGCGUGGGUGAAGAAGGCCUUCGGGUUGUAAAGCCCUUUUGUUGGGAAAGAAAAGCAGCAGGUUAAUACCCCGCUGUUCUGACGGUACCCAAAGAAUAAGCACCGGCUAACUUCGUG